rnacentral:rRNA from 1 species
UACGGAGGAUCCAAGCGUUAUCCGGAUUAUUGGGUUUAAAGGGUGCGUAGGUGGCUUUUUAAGUCAGGGGUGAAAGACGGUAGCUUAACUAUCGCAGUGCCUUUGAUACUGAAGAGCUUGAAUGAACUAGAGGUAGGCGGAAUGUGACAAGUAGCGGUGAAAAUGCAUAGAUAUGUCACAGAACACCAAUUGCGAAGGCAGCUUACUAUGGUUUUAUUGACACUGAGGCACGAAAGCGUGGGGAUCAAACAGG